rnacentral:pre_miRNA from 1 species
AAGUACAUUUUUAAGUAGUGACGCCAUUGUAACGAUUUUUGGCUUACAUUUGGCUUACUGCUUAGGAAUGUUUUCAU